UUUUUGAAUAUUUGAUAAAAAAUGUUUUCUGCUCAAUGAUUUUAAAUAGCCGCGGUAUUUUGACCGUGCAAAGGUAGCGUAAUCAUUUGCUUUAUAAUUGAGGGCUGGAAUGAAUGGAACAACAAGACAUUAGCUUUAUUUUUUUAAGGUUUAUAAUUUGUUUUCUAAGUGAAGAAACUUAGAUUUAUUUGUAAGACAAGAAGACCCUUUUGAUCUUUAUUGUUUGGUUUAUUUUUUAAUUUUUUACAAUUUGGUUGGGGCGACCUAGGAAGAGAUAAUCUUCCUUUAUUUAUUUUGAUCCGAAAUUUUCGAUUGUUAGAGCAAGUUACCAAAGGGAUAACAGCGUAAUUUUUUUUAAGAGCUCUUAUUAAAAAUGAAGAUUGCGACCUCGAUGUUGACUUAUAGUUUCCUUUUGGUGUAGCCGCUAAUAGGGUUGGUCUGUUCGACCAUUAAAACUUUACGUGAGUUGAGUUCAGACCGGCGUGA
rnacentral:rRNA from 1 species